rnacentral:rRNA from 1 species
CCGUCAGAUUCGUCGACACAGACUUUGAUCCGGGCUCCGGCGGGUUCCCAAAUAUAUUGGCGGUCGGGGAGCGGACUCGUGAGAAUCUAGCUUCAGGUCGGGGACACUUUACAGGAAACGGUGGCUAAUACCGGAUGUGCCGAAAGGUGAAAGAUUUAUUGCCUGAAGAUGAGCUCGCGUCUGAUUAGCUAGUUGGUGUGGUAAGAGCGCACCAAGGCGACGAUCAGUAGCUGGUCUGAAAGGAUGAUCAGCCACACUGGGACUGAGACACGGCCCAAACUCCUACGGGAGGCAGCAGUGGGGAAUUUUCCCCAAUGGGCGAAAGCCUGACGGAGCAAUACCGCGUGAGGGAGGAAGGCUCUUGGGUUGUAAACCUCUUUUCUCAGGGAAUAAAAAAAUGAAGGUACCUGAGGAAUAAGCAUCGGCUAACUCCGUGCCAGCAGCCGCGGUAAUACGGAGGAUGCGGGCGUUAUCCGGAACGAUUGGGCGUAAAGCGUCCGCAGGUGGCACUGUAAGUCUGCUGUUAAAGAGCAAGGCUCAACCUUGUAAAGGCAGUGGAAACUACAGACCUAGAGUACGUUCGGGGCAGAGGGAAUUCCUGGUGUAGCGGUAAAAUGCGUAGAGAUCAGAGAAGAACACCGGUGGCGAAACGCUCUGCUAGGCCGUAAACU